AUUCCGUGGAGCUGCAUUGUCCAUAUAGUGAACAACAGAGAUGGUCCAAAAUCUGGUGCAAGCAGGUUGGAAAGACGUGUGACUGGGUGGUUCAUUCAGAUGGAAAUAUAAAUCGUGACUAUCAGAAACGACCUGUGAUUUCUAAUAACCCAAAUUCUCGGAUAAUGAUAAUGAAGUUAAGGGAACUUGAGCUGUGGGAUAAUGGGUUGUACCAGUGUGAGGAAUCUGGGGGACAAACUCUGCUGAAUAAAGUUCUCCUUCUUGUAACUCCAGCAGGCGAUCAUAACAACGGUAGGUUUGCAUAGAAUUUCAUAUGUUUUUAAAGUAAUGAGUUGUACAUACACAUUCAGUACCUCCCAACAUUUCAAAUGGACAAGGGGGAAAUUUUAGUUAUAAUGGUUUAAGUGGGGAGAGGAGCGGGGCUCUCCUGAGAAAUGUUUC